AUCCUACGGGAGGCAGCAGUAGGGAAUCUUCCGCAAUGGGCGAAAGCCUGACGGAGCAACGCCGCGUGAGUGAUGAAGGUCUUCGGAUCGUAAAACUCUGUUAUUAGGAGAACAAACGUGUAAGUAACUGUGCACGUCUUGACGGUACCUAAUCAGAAAGCCACGGCUAACUACGUGCCAGCAGCCGCGGUAAUA
rnacentral:rRNA from 1 species